GAGGUGGCGGCGGCUUACACAUGCAAGUCGAGCGGUAGCACAGGGAGAGCUUGCUCCCUGGGUGACGAGCGGCGGACGGGUGAGUAAUGUCUGGGAAACUGCCUGAUGGAGGGGGAUAACUACUGGAAACGGUAGCUAAUACCGCAUAACGUCGCAAGACCAAAGAGGGGGACCUUCGGGCCUCUUGCCAUCAGAUGUGCCCAGAUGGGAUUAGCUAGUAGGGGGGGUAAUGGCUCACCUAGGCGACGAUCCCUAGCUGGUCUGAGAGGAUGACCAGCCACACUGGAACUGAGACACGGUCCAGACUCCUACGGGAGGCAGCAGUGGGGAAUAUUGCACAAUGGGCGCAAGCCUGAUGCAGCCAUGCCGCGUGUGUGAAGAAGGCCUUCGGGUUGUAAAGCACUUUCAGCGAGGAGGAAGGUGGUGAACUUAAUACGUUCAUCAAUUGACGUUACUCGCAAAAAAAGCACCGGCUAACUCCGUGCCAGCAGCCGCGGUAAUACGGAGGGUGCAAGCGUUAAUCGAAAUUACUGGGCGUAAAGCGCACGCGGGCGGUUUGUUAAGUCAUAUGUGAAAUCCCCGGGCUCAACCUGGAAACUGCAUUUGAAACUGGCAAGCUAGAGUCUCGUAGAGGGGGGUAGAAUUCCAGGUGUAGCGGUGAAAUGCGUAGAGAUCUGGAGGAAUACCGGGGGGCGAAGGCGGCCCCCUGGACGAAGACUGACGCUCAGGUGCGAAAGCGUGGAGAGCAAACAGGAUUAGAUACCCUGUAGUCCACGCUGUAAAUCGAUGUCUAUUCGGAGGUUGUGCCAUUGAGGCGUGUUUACGAGACUAACGCUUUAAUCGACGACUUGGGGUAGCUACGUCGACACGGUGAAUCUCAAAUGAAUUGGACGGAGCGUCGACAUGCGGGUGACACUGAGAUUAUCUCGAAUAGCAACUGGCAAGCAAUCU
rnacentral:rRNA from 1 species